GACGAACGCUGGCGGCGUGCUUAACACAUGCAAGUCGAACGAUGAACCGGUUUCGGCCGGGGACUAGUGGCGAACGGGUGAGUAACACGUGGGCAAUCUGCCCUGCACUCUGGGAUAAGCCCGGGAAACUGGGUCUAAUACCGGAUACGACACUCCGAGGCAUCUUGGGGUGUGGAAAGUUCCGGCGGUGCAGGAUGAGCCCGCGGCCUAUCAGCUUGUUGGUGGGGUAAUGGCCUACCAAGGCGACGACGGGUAGCCGGCCUGAGAGGGUGACCGGCCACACUGGGACUGAGACACGGCCCAGACUCCUACGGGAGGCAGCAGUGGGGAAUAUUGCACAAUGGGCGAAAGCCUGAUGCAGCGACGCCGCGUGAGGGAUGACGGCCUUCGGGUUGUAAACCUCUUUCAGCAGGGAAGAAGCGAAAGUGACGGUACCUGCAGAAGAAGCACCGGCUAACUACGUG
rnacentral:rRNA from 1 species